UACAGAGGGUGCAAGCGUUGUUCGGAAUUACUGGGCGUAAAGCGCACGUAGGCGGCUAUUUAAGUCAGAGGUGAAAGCCUGGAGCUCAACUCCAGAACUGCCUUUGAGACUGGAUAGCUAGAAUCUUGGAGAGGCGGGUGGAAUUCCGAGUGUAGAGGUGAAAUUCGUAGAUAUUCGGAAGAACACCAGUGGCGAAGGCGGCCCGCUGGACAAGUAUUGACGCUGAGGUGCGAAAGCGUGGGGAGCAAACAGG
rnacentral:rRNA from 1 species